CCUAACACAUGCAAGUCGAACGGUAACAGGAAGCAGCUUGCUGCUUCGCUGACGAGUGGCGGACGGGUGAGUAAUGUCUGGGAAGCUGCCUGAUGGAGGGGGAUAACUACUGGAAACGGUAGCUAAUACCGCAUAAUGUCGCAAGACCAAAGAGGGGGACCUUCGGGCCUCUUGCCAUCGGAUGUGCCCAGAUGGGAUUAGCUUGUUGGUGGGGUAACGGCUCACCAAGGCGACGAUCCCUAGCUGGUCUGAGAGGAUGACCAGCCACACUGGAACUGAGACACGGUCCAGACUCCUACGGGAGGCAGCAGUGGGGAAUAUUGCACAAUGGGCGCAAGCCUGAUGCAGCCAUGCCGCGUGUAUGAAGAAGGCCUUCGGGUUGUAAAGACUUUCAGCGGGGAGGAAGGGAGUAAAGUUAAUACCUUUGCUCAUUGACGUUACCCGCAGAAGAAGCACCGGCUAACUCCGUGCCAGC
rnacentral:rRNA from 1 species